GAUGAACGCUGGCGGCGUGCCUAAUACAUGCAAGUCGAGCGAACAGACGAGGAGCUUGCUCCUCUGACGUUAGCGGCGGACGGGUGAGUAACACGUGGAUAACCUACCUAUAAGACUGGGAUAACUUCGGGAAACCGGAGCUAAUACCGGAUAAUAUAUUGAACCGCAUGGUUCAAUAGUGAAAGACGGUUUUGCUGUCACUUAUAGAUGGAUCCGCGCCGCAUUAGCUAGUUGGUAAGGUAACGGCUUACCAAGGCAACGAUGCGUAGCCGACCUGAGAGGAUGAUCGGUCACACUGGAACUGAGACACGGUCCAGACUCCUACGGGAGGCAGCAGUAGGGAAUCUUGCGCAAUGGGCGAAAGCCUGACGGAGCAACGCCGCGUGAGUGAUGAAGGUCUUCGGAUCGUAAAACUCUGUUAUUAGGGAAGAACAGAUGUGUAAGUAACUAUGCACGUCUUGACGGUACCUAAUCAGAAAGCCACGGCUAACUACGUG
rnacentral:rRNA from 1 species